AUGUUGGGUUAAGUCCCGCAACGAGCGCAACCCUUAUCCUUUGUUGCCAGCGGUUCGGCCGGGAACUCAAAGGAGACUGCCAGUGAUAAACUGGAGGAAGGUGGGGAUGACGUCAAGUCAUCAUGGCCCUUACGAGUAGGGCUACACACGUGCUACAAUGGCGUAUACAAAGAGAAGCGACCUCGCGAGAGCAAGCGGACCUCAUAAAGUACGUCGUAGUCCGGAUUGGAGUCUGCAACUCGACUCCAUGAAGUCGGAAUCGCUAGUAAUCGUAGAUCAGAAUGCUACGGUGAAUACGUUCCCGGGCCUUGUACACACCGCCCGUCACACCAUGGGAGUGGGUUGCAAAAGAAGUAGGUAGCUUAACCUUCGGG
rnacentral:rRNA from 1 species